AUUGAACGCUGGCGGAAUGCUUUACACAUGCAAGUCGAACGGCAGCACGGGGGCAACCCUGGUGGCGAGUGGCGAACGGGUGAGUAAUACAUCGGAACGUGCCCGGUCGUGGGGGAUAACGUAGCGAAAGUUACGCUAAUACCGCAUACGAUCUGAGGAUGAAAACGGGGGACCUUCGGGCCUCGCGCGAUCGGAGCGGCCGAUGUCAGAUUAGGUAGUUGGUGGGGUAAAGGCCUACCAAGCCGACGAUCUGUAGCUGGUCUGAGAGGACGACCAGCCACACUGGGACUGAGACACGGCCCAGACUCCUACGGGAGGCAGCAGUGGGGAAUUUUGGACAAUGGGCGCAAGCCUGAUCCAGCCAUUCCGCGUGCAGGACGAAGGCCUUCGGGUUGUAAACUGCUUUUGUAUGGAACGAAAAGGCUCUGGCUAAUACCUGGGGCUCAUGACGGUACCGUAAGAAUAAGCACCGGCUAACUACGUG
rnacentral:rRNA from 1 species